AUUGAACGCUGGCGGCAUGCGUUACACAUGCAAGUCGAACGGCAGCGCGGGCUUCGGCCUGGCGGCGAGUGGCGAACGGGUGAGUAAUGCAUCGGAACGUGCCCAGUAGUGGGGGAUAGCCCGGCGAAAGCCGGAUUAAUACCGCAUACGACCUGAGGGUGAAAGCGGGGGACCGAAAGGCCUCGCGCUAUUGGAGCGGCCGAUGUCGGAUUAGCUAGUUGGUGGGGUAAAGGCUUACCAAGGCGACGAUCCGUAGCUGGUCUGAGAGGACGACCAGCCACACUGGGACUGAGACACGGCCCAGACUCCUACGGGAGGCAGCAGUGGGGAAUUUUGGACAAUGGGGGCAACCCUGAUCCAGCCAUGCCGCGUGCGGGAAGAAGGCCUUCGGGUUGUAAACCGCUUUUGUUCGGGAAGAAAUCCUCUGGGCUAAUACCCCGGGGGGAUGACGGUACCGGAAGAAUAAGCACCGGCUAACUACGUG
rnacentral:rRNA from 1 species